rnacentral:tRNA from 1 species
GCCGCUUUAGCUCAACGGCAGAGCCUUUCAUUCGUAAUGAGAUGAUGCCAGUUCAAUUCUGGCAAGCGGCA